CGAGUUUUCAACUCCCCAACCCUUCUGUGAACCUACCUAUCGUUGCUUCGGCGGAGCUCGCCCCAGCCCGGACGCGGACUGGACCAGCGGCCCGCCUGGGGACCUCAAACUCCUGUAUUCCAGCAUCUUCUGAAUACGCCGCAAGGCAAAAACAAAUGAAUCA
rnacentral:misc_RNA from 1 species